CAUUUAUCUUCCGGUAAACAAUUGUAUUUACAUAUAUUAGCUUCUGCUCCCGUAUCUAUCAUCGGUGUAUAAUAUCUGUUGUAAUAUCCCUCUAUUAUUAUUUUUGCAAGUAUAUAUAUUUUCAUAUUUUUAUCCUACUAAAGUUCUUUUUAUUAUUACUCUUUUAUUUUCAUAAUUUAUUGUCAAUUGUUUGUCUUCUAGAUUAUAUGGUUUUACUUGUUCUAGCCAUUUUAUUCCUAAAAUGAUAUUUUCAUUUCCUUGAUAUAUUUUAAAUUUUAUUACUAUUGGUACUCCUCCUAUGAUUAUUUCUUUUUCUGUAGUUUCUUCGGUAUACA
rnacentral:lncRNA from 1 species